rnacentral:sRNA from 12 species
GGCCGCCUGGCGGCGUUGAAGGCCUGCGUACCUACGCGGGGUAUUGACGUAGACGCCCUGGGCGGUC